GAUGAACGCUGGCGGCGUGCCUAAUACAUGCAAGUCGAGCGAACAGACGAGGAGCUUGCUCCUUUGACGUUAGCGGCGGACGGGUGAGUAACACGUGGGUAACCUACCUAUAAGACUGGGAUAACUUCGGGAAACCGGAGCUAAUACCGGAUAAUAUUUCGAACCGCAUGGUUCGAUAGUGAAAGAUGGCUUUGCUAUCACUUAUAGAUGGACCUGCGCCGUAUUAGCUAGUUGGUAAGGUAACGGCUUACCAAGGCAACGAUACGUAGCCGACCUGAGAGGGUGAGCGGCCACACUGGAACUGAACCACGGUCCAGACUCCUACGGGAGGCGGCGGUGGGGAAUCUUCCGCAAUGGGCGAAAGCCUGACGGAGCAACGCCGCGUGGGUGAUGAAGGUCUUCGGAUCGGAAAACUCUGUUAUUAGGGAAGAACAAACGUGUAAGUAACUGUGCGCGUCUUGACGGUACCUAAUCAGAAAGCCACGGCUAACUACGUG
rnacentral:rRNA from 1 species